rnacentral:rRNA from 1 species
UAGGGAAUCUUCCGCAAUGGGCGAAAGCCUGACGGAGCAACGCCGCGUGAGUGAUGAAGGUCUUCGGAUCGUAAAACUCUGUUAUUAGGGAAGAACAAAUGUGUAAGUAACUAUGCACGUCUUGACGGUACCUAAUCAGAAAGCCACGGCUAACUACGUGCCAGCAGCCGCGGUAAUACGUAGGUGGCAAGCGUUAUCCGGAAUUAUUGGGCGUAAAGCGCGCGUAGGCGGUUUUUUAAGUCUGAUGUGAAAGCCCACGGCUCAACCGUGGAGGGUCAUUGGAAACUGGAAAACUUGAGUGCAGAAGAGGAAAGUGGAAUUCCAUGUGUAGCGGUGAAAUGCGCAGAGAUAUGGAGGAACACCAGUGGCGAAGGCGACUUUCUGGUCUGUAACUGACGCUGAUAUGCGAAAGCGUGGGGAUCAAACGGG